rnacentral:rRNA from 1 species
AACGUAGGAGACAAACGUUAUCCGGAGUUACUGGGCGUAAAGGGCGUGUAGGUGGUUUCGUAAGUCUGGCGUGAAAUUUUUCGGCUUAACCGGGAAGGGUCGUCGGAUACUGCGGAACUAGAGGACGGUAGAGGCGUGUGGAAUUCCGGGUGUAGUGGUGAAAUGCGUAGAGAUCCGGAGGAACACCAGUGGCGAAGGCGACACGCUGGGCCGUACCUGACACUGAUGCGCGACAGCAUGGGGAGCAAACAGG